rnacentral:sRNA from 1 species
UUUUUUUUUCGUUUUUA